AUUGACCUGCGGAUCAGGUAGGGAU
rnacentral:rRNA from 1 species